UUUGGAGUUGGAGUUGAACCAGCGACCUUUGACAACAGCGUUUCAGGAACUUCUUUUCUUACAGUCCUCUGCUCUACCAACUGAGCUAUGAAGGAGCUUAUAUAUACAAACGCAGAAAACAUAGUGGCUUCGGCGACACACUUUGCCAACAAUACAAUUGGACCCACAUGGUCAAUGAAAAAGGUUGAAGAGUGCAUACAGCAAUGAAAUGUGGUGUUUGGAGCUGGAGUUGAACCAGCCACCUUUGGAGAACAGCGUUUCAGGAACUUGUUACAGUCCUCUGCUCUACCAACUGAGCUAUGAAGGUGCUUAUAUAUACAAACGCAGAAAACAUAGUGGCUUCGGCGACACACUUUGCCAACAAUACAAUUGGAACCACAUGGUCAAUGAAAAAGGUUGAAGAGUGCAUACAGCAAUGAAAUGUGGUGUUUGGAGUUGGAGUUGAACCAGCGACCUUUUGACAACAGCGUUUCAGGAACUUCUUUUCUUACAGUCCUCUGCUCUACCAACUGAGCUAUGAAGGAGCUUAUAUAUACAAACGCAGAAAACAUAGUGGCUUCGGCGACACACUUUGCCAACAAUACAAUUGGACCCACAUGGUCAAUGAAAAAGGUUGAAGAGUGCAUACAGCAAUGAAAUGUGGUGUUUGGAGCUGGAGUUGAACCAGCGACCUUUGGACCACAGCGUUUCAGGAACUUCUUACAGUCCUCUGCUCUACCAACUGAGCUAUGAAGGUGCUUAUAGACCGAAACGCAGAAAACAUAGUGGCUUCGGCGACACACUUUGCCAACAAUACAAUUGGACCCACAUGGUCAAUGAAAAAGGUUGAAGAGUGCAUACAGCAAUGAAAUCUGUUGUUUUGAGCUGGAGUUGAACCGGACACCUUUGGACCACAGCGUUUCAGGAGCUUCUUACAGUCCUCUGCUCUACCAAGUGAGCUAUGAAGGUGCUUAUAGACACAAACGCAGAAAACAUAGUGGCUUCGGCGACACACUUUGCCAACAAUACAAUUGGACCAAAAGGUCAAUGAAAAAGGUUGAACAGUGCAUAAAGCAAUGAAAUCUGGUGUUUGGAGUUGGAGUUGAAGCAGCGACGUUUGGACAACAGCGUUUCAGGAACUUCUUACAGUCCUCUGCUCUACCAAGUGAGCUAUGAAGGUGCUUAUAUAUACAGACGCCGAAAACAUAGUGGCUUCGGCGACACACUUUGCCAACAAUACAAUUGGACCCACAUGGUCAAUGAAAAAAGUUGAAGAGUGCAUACAGCAAUGAAAUGUGGUGUUUGGAGCUGGAGUUGAACCAGCGACCUUUGGACCACAGCGUUUCAGGAAGUUCUUACAGUCCUCUGCUCUACCAACUGAGCUAUGAAGGUGCAUAUAUAUACAAACGCAGAAAACAUAGUGGCUUCGGCGACACACUUUGCCAACAUAACAAUCAAGGUACCUGGUCAAUGAAAAAGGUUGAACAGUGCAUAAAGCAAUGAAAUGUGGUGUUUGGAGCUGGAGUUGAACCAGCGACGUUUGGACCACAGCGUUUCAGGAACUUCUUACAGUACUCUGCUCUACCAACUGCGCUAUGAAGGUGCUUAUAGACCCAAACGCAGAAAACAAAGUGGCUUCGGCGACACACUUUGCCAACAAUACAAUUGGACCCACAUGGUCAAUGAAAAAGGUUGAAGAGUGCAUACAGCAAUGAAAUCUGGUGUUUGGAGCUGGAGUUGAACCAGCGACCUUUGGACCAGAGCGUUUCAGGAACUUCUUACAGUCCUCUGCUCUACCAACUGAGCUAUGAAGGUGCUUAUAUAUACAAACGCAGAAAACAUAGUGGCUUCGGCGACACACUUUGCCAACAAUACAAUUGGACCCACAUGGUCAAUGAAAAAGGUUGAAGAGUGCAUACAGCAAUAAAAUCUGGUGUUUGGAGCUGGAGUUGAACCGGCCACCUUUGGACCACAGCGUUUCAGGAACUUCUUACAGUCCUCUGCUCUACCAAGUGAGCUAUGAAGGUGCUUAUAGACACAAUUGCAGAAAACAUAGUGGCUUCGGAGACACACUUUGCCAACAUAACAAUCAAGCUACCUGGUCAAUGAAAAAGGUUGAACAGUGCAUAGAGCAAUGAAAUCUGGUGUUUGGAGCUGGAGUUGAACCAGCGACGUUUGGACCACAGCGUUUCAGGAACUUCUUACAGUACUCUGCUCUACCAACUGCGCUAUGAAGGUGCUUAUAGACCCAAACGCAGAAAACAAAGUGGCUUCGGCGAGACACUUUGCCAACAAUACAAUUGGACCCACAUGGUCAAUGAAAAAGGUUGAAGAGUGCAUACAGCAAUGAAAUGUGGUGUUUGGAGCUGGAGUUGAACCAGCCACCUUUGGACCACAGCGUUUCAGGAACUUCUUACAGUCCUCUGCUCUACCAACUGAGCUAUGAAGGAGCUUAUAUAUACAAACGCAGAAAACAUAGUGGCUUCGGCGACACACUUUGCCAACAAUACAUUUGGACCCACAUGGUCAAUGAAAAAGGUUGAACAGUGCAUACAGCAAUGAAAUGUGGUGUUUGGAGCUGGAGUUGAACCAGCGACCUUUGGACCACAGCGUUUCAGGAACUUCUUACAGUCCUCUGCUCUACCAACUGAGCUAUGAAGGUGCUCAUAGACCCAAAUGCAGAAAACAUAGUGGCUUCGGCGACACACUUUGCCAACAAUACAAUUGGACCCACAUGGUCAAUGAAAAAGGUUUAAGAGUGCAUACAGCAAUGAAAUCUGUUGUUUGGAGCUGGAGUUGAACCGGACACCUUUGGACCACAGCGUUUCAGGAGCUUCUUACAGUCCUCUGCUCUACCAAGUGAGCUAUGAAGGUGCUUAUAGACACAAACGCAGAAAACAUAGUGGCUUCGGCGACACACUUUGCCAACAAUACAAUUGGACCCACAUGGUCAAUGAAAAAGGUUGAACAGUGCAUAAAGCAAUGAAAUGUGGUGUUUGGAGUUGGAGUUGAACCAGCGACGUUUGGACAACAGCGUUUCAGGAACUUCUUACAGUCCUCUGCUCUACCAAGUGAGCUAUGAAGGUGCUUAUAGACACAAACGCAGAAAACAUAGUGGCUUCGGCGACACACUUUGCCAACAAUACAAUUGGACCCACAUGGUCAAUGAAAAAGGUUGAAGAGUGCAUACAGCAAUGAAAUGUGGUGUUUGGAGCUGGAGUUGAACCAGCGACCUUUGGACCACAGCGUUUCAGGAAGUUCUUACAGUCCUCUGCUCUACCAACUGAGCUAUGAAGGUGCAUAUAUAUACAAAUGCAGAAAACAUAGUGGCUUCGGCGACACACUUUGCCAACAUAACAAUCAAGCUACCUGGUCAAUGAAAAAGGUUGAACAGUGCAUAAAGCAAUGAAAUCUGGUGUUUGGAGCUGGAGUUGAACCAGCGACGUUUGGACCACAGCGUUUCAGGAACUUCUUACAGUACUCUGCUCUACCAACUGCGCUAUGAAGGUGCUUAUAGACCCAAACGCAGAAAACAAAGUGGCUUCGGCGACACACUUUGCCAACAAUACAAUUGGACCCACAUGGUCAAUGAAAAAGGUUGAAGAGUGCAUACAGCAAUGAAAUGUGGUGUUUGGAGCUGGAGUUGAACAAGCGACCUUUGGACCACAGCGUUUCAGGAACUUCUUACAGUCCUCUGCUCUACCAAGUGAGCUAUGAAGGUGCUUAUAGACACAAACGCAGAAAACAUAGUGGCUUCGGCGACACACUUUGCCAACAAUACAAUCAAGGUACCUGGUCAAUGAAAAAGGUUGAACAGUGCAUAAAGCAAUGAAAUGUGGUGUUUGGAGCUGGAGUUGAAGCAGCGACCUUUGGACCACAGCGUUUCAGGAACUUCUUACAGUCCUCUGCUCUACCAACUGCGCUAUGAAGGUGCUUACAGAGCCAAACGCAGAAAACAUAGUGGCUUCGGCGACACACUUUGCCAACAAUACAAUUGGACCCACAUGGUCAAUGAAAAAGGUUGAACAGUGCAUACAGCAAUGCAAUGUGGUGUUUUGAGCUGGAGUUGAAACAGCGACCUUUGGACCACAGCGUUUCAGGAACUUCUUACAGUCCUCUGCUCUACCAACUGAGCUAUGAAGUUGCUCAUAGACUCAAACGCAGAAAACAUAGUGGCUUCGGCGACACACUUUGCCAACAAUACAAUUGGACCCACAUGGUCAAUGAAAAAGGUUGAAGAGUGCAUACAGCAAUGAAAUGUGGUGUUUGGAGCUGGAGUUGAACCAGCGACCUUUGGACAACAGCGUUUCACUUCCUACCUUCAGAACAGAGCUUGGCAGUUUGUACCUAACAGUCAUUGCCAAGGACUCAGAACUGAUAAUAAGUACUCUUAGGCUGGGUGAAUAAAAAAAUGAUGGUUGGAAAAUAAAGUAGGAGUUAUCUUGUUUGUGUUUUUACAUUCUUGAGGAGGUGACAGAUGAGGACAAGGCUUUGUAUUAUUUCAAUUUGAUUCCACCAUGAAAAUUGCUCACACCAAUGAAAUGUUGGUGCAUUGAGCGGGAGUCAGAGGGGCCCUCUGACUGCCAUCCCCCAAAGUCCAGGGGCCCUCUGAUUGCCGUCCCUGUCCCCCCUGCCCAAUUCAUAUCACCCUUCUCUCUCGGUUCUCUUCAGAUAUGCCCUAUGACAGUGUGAGUAGUCAUAAGAUCCUAGAGAAUAGAGGCCCUCUGACAUUGCAAUUUGCAUCGGCAUCUGCAUCGCCUGGACCCUUGGGCCCCUAGGCGCCGGCCCCACUGGCCCAGUCAGUAAUACGGCCCUGGUUCUGAUGAAAGCGCACAUGGUGGGAAACUAACUGUGUACCUAUUUAAUUGUUACUAAAGCACAAAUAUAAUUAUUAAAUUACAUAAUCCCUUUGAUUGAGCUGUCCAUGUCGCUUGGCCAUGAUACUGUAAUGGAAACAGCGUCAACAACACUGCUUUCUAAUGUCUUUUUUUUUAAACAAGGAAAAACAAAGUUAUUUUAACAUGUCUCACCUUGCUCAGAGUAUUUUACUAAAUAUGUACAAAGCCCCCUGUUGCAUGGUUCUCACUCAAACAAUCACAACAUAGUGGAAAAACACAAGCGGAAAACACAGUGAUGGUGAUAGGAUUUAUUUACUAUCCAAGGUGCAGUACAAAAAAGUCUGUUUGGAAGUUACAACAAACUCCAGUCUGAUAGAAGGAAAGGCUCAGGAACCCUUUAAAAAAACCUAGCCCCUCCCAGUUGGCGUUAUUACUAACAUAUGUUUGGAAAAACUAAUUUUUCACAUUCAAACCAUUUUUACAAUUUUUAACUUUCAGACCUUUUUCUAGAAGUUUUUGCCAUUUUCACAAAGUUUUUACACAAAUCAAUGGAGCAUUAUUUGUAGGGAUUCAUGGCAAACAACAAUGGAAUUAUUUUUUCUUGUAUCACGUGACCACUUUGACCCACCGUACCAACCUAUUUUACGUACGGAAGUCAUGCGCUCUGUUUCUGUACCUGGAAACCUUUUCCGGCAUGGUGGCGGGAAUGGACGCCCGGCGGGUAAGUGGAGAGAUGAAUAUCUAUUAGGCUGUAUUAGGACAGGGUAAAAAAGUGCUUAGAACGUGAAUCUCGUUCCACUUCAGUGGGGCAACAUGACCUGUGAUUCAUAAAAUAGCUGUAUUGAUAGUAAGGACUAAAAAAAAUAUCUACUCAUGCCAUCCUGUCGAUUUUUUAGUAAUCAGUGUUUCGGUGUCGAACUAUUUCCUUUCUGCGGCGUAGUGAUACUUGCACACGCGCAAUCGAAUAUGCAGGGGGUGAAGCGAUUUUUGUCAAGUGGACCAAUAGGAGCCGAGUCUCGUUGCCAUAGUAUCAGAAAGACACAAACAUGGCGACGAGCGCAUCCAACACCGAGACAAGCGAAGAGGAAGAAAAGAAAAGAAAAGAAAAAGAAAACAGCUUUCAAAAGUGCAUAAAAAAGAAACGAAACGAUGCUAUAUGCAUCUAUCAUCUGUCCAGAGUGAAGACGUUCUCAACUUUACAAGGACACGUUGGGAAACUUACAGAACUAGUAUUGGAAAGUGGCUUUCUCUACAGGGUGAGACAAAGGACCUUGCAGAAACUUAUAAACAUUGCGUUGAUAUCGACUUUGACAAUGUUCCUGAUGACGCUGGGUUUCACAUGACAUGCUACCAGCGAUUUAUUUGCAAAAGGCGUUUGAGAAACAAGAACGUGAUGCAGCCGCGGGUCAGUCAAACUCUUUAGCCAGCAUCGCCGACGCAUCCACGUCCACGGCAUCUGAAACUCCGCGAAAGAAACUUCACUCGAGGACAUAGGCUGUAUUGGGACAAAGGAGAAAGUGUCGAGAAAGUGAAUUUCGUUCAACUAUGCUGGUGCUACUUGUUCAAUGUAUUUUUGCAUAGACAAUACCAUUCUGGACUCUGGGUUAAAAUAUCUACUCAGACUGUCUGUCAGACUUUUGUCACCAGCCAGAAAUGUACAUAUAUGUAAAUAACGCAAAAACAAUUAUAUGGUGCUGCUGUUUUUGCUUAUAGAAACUGCUAUGUUGAUUCUGGCAAGGUAGAAUCUUUCUCAAAUGUCAUAAAUACAUCUACCUAACAUCUAAAACAGUUAUUGGUGCCUUAGUUUACACAGGUGAAUUCAUAUUAUGCAAUGUAGCAAAUUUCUUGAAGAAAAUGUCUCAACUCAAGUGAUUUGCACCCAGCACAAUGAAAUAUAUACAGUAAAUUUAGCUAAAGCUUAUGUUUCAUACAUAAAAAUGACAAAUAUUUUUUUUAGUACUUACUUUCUAUAGAGCUAUUUUAUGAAUCACAGUUUAUGUUGCCCCACUGAAGUGAAACGAACCAACACGAUCUCGCUCAGCCAAUACAGCCCAUAUGUUUUGAACAUAGACAGUCUAUGGUUUUGAAUGUAUGUGUUAGCGCUGUUUAGUGGGGAAUUAGAGACGCUGGAGGGGAGGGAAAUGUUUGCCGCGUUUAAGUCGGUAUGUUUGUGGCUCAGUGCGCUGCCCGCGGUCAGUGAGGACACGUUUUUCACAUUCAUUGACAAAAAUGACUCAAGGAAUGGAAAGUUGGGAUGACUGUUUUAGAAGGGAGAUGAUUUUGACCAUUUUCAUUUCAAGGGAGAUGCCACGAUUUGAUUUGAAUGUGUGUACAUGCAGAGCUGGAGGAGCAGACUCGUAAAGCUCUGGAGUUGAAGCUGCAGAGGAAGCGGGCGAAGGAGGAGGCAGAGCGGCUGGAAAAGGAGAGGCAGAUGGCUGAGGAGGCCAAGGCAACACUGGCUCAGCAGGCAGCAGAUCAGAUGAAGAACCAGCAACAACUGGUACCGACAUUUAACUAACUUCUAGUUUACUCUUUACCCUGGUGCAUUUGGUAAGAUUGGUGGAGAAUAGGAUAGGAUGUUUCAGGGUUGCAUUUCUAAAGGCCACAAUGUAUUGGUUAUAUAAAUGGCAUGACUCAAAUUUCCCUUUAUCCUCUGAUGGACACAUGGCUGGAAGGUUAGUUGCUUUAUUUGCAUACACUGAAUAAAAAGCUAAUGUGAGGCAACAUUGAUCCCAUUUUACUGUUUGUGCUCUUUUCCUGCAUGAGCAGUGAUCACUUUGGCGGUUAUUUCACUUAAAGUUAAAUAUUCUUCUCUAUUUUAGUCACACUUAAGUCUUUGUUGCCCUUUUGGUAUAGUCUAAGAUAAAAGUCAGCAGCAACUCACCACAUUUUUCACGAGUUUUAGUCUCAAGUAAUUACUUCAGCCAGUUUUUGUCUUCACUUUGCCUAAGAAAAAACAGACACCAAAAACAUUGCUCAUCAAUGUUAAUGACAGUUUUUGAGAAUUCAGUGUUGCAUGACUGCCCCAGCGUUGGUGAGAGAAAAAUAAAACACACAAGACCAAGUAAUUACACUGAUUAAUGACAAAUAAAAGCUUGAGUAGGCUUUUUAUUGCUCACCUUUUCACACACAAUAACAGUUAACAUUUAGCAACAGCUUUACAGACUCUGUAAGUAGGACAGCUUUGUUUUCGAGCUUUAGUUUUGGGUUUCAUACCUAAAGCUCAUUUUGGCUCCACUGCCCUGUAGUUCAAACAUCUGAAGAGAUCCAUGUCAAAAAGUUUUGCAAAGACAGUUUAACCUUAAGCAUUUAAGCCCCUUUGACAGUAUGAGCUUAGUUUUCAGUAGUAUUGCAAACUGUGCUUCUAGUGCUAUGCUUGAAGUCAGUGUUUUUAAUGACAUUGUUGGGUUUUGGGAUAAGAUUUAAUUCGACAGCGGGACACAGUGAAAAAGCAGCAACUGUCAUCUUUUUUAAAUUUGGUCUUUUGUAACCAUUCAAUAAGAAAGGAAGGACAUUAAAAGUCAAUUAACAGUGUUUUAUUUGGCUUUGGUCCUUAGGGGAGCCCACUUAUAUUCUUUCUGUAACAGAAAUGUAGUUUAAAUAAAAUCAGAAGAACUACAAGUAGGAAAUACACUGUGAUAAACAGUCACAUCGUUAAUACCUUAUUUUUCUUUUCUUUGAGGAUGAAACAAAAUACAAAAAUCUGUUAAGGAAACAACCACUCACAUUUCAUGAAACAGUAUUCAGACUGAGCCUAAGGCAAGUUUAAGGCAGUAAAAUCACAUCUCAACAGAAUGAGGGAUGCAUGUUGACAGCCAUCACAUAUAACAACCAGAGGUAUGUUUCUGUUGAAUCUCCCUUACUCAGCAACACUGACUCCGACUACAAUCUCUUAUUGUGGAAAGACAUCAAGUACAUUUAGAAAAAUAGCUCUUUAACAAUGUCAAGAUAGUAAAAAAAUAUUAUUUUGCCUCCAUAAACUUAAUCGGUCUUAUAAAUCCGAAGGAAUGUUGACACAAACCCUUUAGAGGUGUGUAAUAUUAGGUUGUAGUGUCCCAUCCCCAUCACAAACAUUGGCACACAGUGCCAGUCAGAAAAGGAAGGCGAGAGCACCUCAGUUAUGACUGACUUGCUGAGUAAUCACAUCAUAGCACAUGACCAUUACAGUGACAGAAGAGAAGCAUCAACUGUUAGGCUUUAGACAGCGUGAUAACACCGGCAGGGAUUACUGAGGACUCGUUCCUGAGAGUAACACUUUUCAGAUUACACUAGAGCCCUUAAGAGAAAAGCUUUUCAAGUAAGAUCACUCAAAGACUACAAAGAGGAAAAUGUGGUGGUUUUAGAUUCUUCUGAUUCAGAGCCAGAAGCAAAAGCUUAAGAACAGCUGUGCACCAAGCUGAGUCAUUUGAAUUGUUUUGUUUUACAGCUCUUACUCUAUUCUUGUUUCAAAAUGGGUCAGAAAUACUGUCCUGAGGGGAAAAUUGAGACCACCAGGCUCUAGUGUCUCAAAACUAAUGAGACAAUAUUGCCUUUAAUAUGAACACUUUAAACCACAAUACUGAAUACUUCUUAGUGCGGUAAGAGCUUUUAAUCAGCCUUGGGCUGACUCAACAACAUCCCUUGUCACAUUUGGGCGUCUCAUUUUUGGGGGUUACUCAAGUAUUCUCACCGUUCAGUGUCACCAUAAAAAUACUUGAAACUUUCACCUUCUCUCUCUAGAAAGCCCUUUUACAUAAACAUAGGCUUCAAACCAAAGAUGACAAAUAACCACUGAUAAUUAUAUCCAACAUACUUUGUGUAAAUAUUAUUAUAUCAAACAAUUAUCUUGUUUAAAAAGUUUAUAUGAUACAAUUUGUAUCAACGAAAAGAGGUGCCAUCUGGCUACAAGAUACGUCAACCAGGCAAGAGUUUAAGCUUUAAAAACAGUUAAUCAGAUCUCAGAUAAUGAUCCAGUAGGUGUUGUUAGAAAGAUUAAAGAAUACUUUUUAGUACCACAGUUACAGUUGAAGUGCUUUACUUUGAAAAAAUGACAUUGAAAAUCAAGAAAUUAGUAGAAGCCACAAUAAUGUAUAUCGGCUUAUUCUUAGUCAAAGUAGUUAUGCAUUUUUAACUAAUUACUGUCAUAAAAACUGAAGUCGUAGUCAACAAGUACAUUUUUGUAUGGCUCCAAUUCCUAAACAGUUGAGAUGCUAAGUAAUUAGUGAAACAAAAACAAAAUCUUUGGUUUGCAACUAAUUUACGAUGCCAAAUGUAAUUGAAAAUAGUGCAAAGAAAACAUAUGAAACAAUGAAAUUUGACUUUUUUUGUUUCUUCCAGUAUCGGUACAGAAAUACAGAAAUUCCAAAUUGUUGUACAAUUUUCUUACACAGUCUCUCACAGAGUAGAAAAUCUCUUCCUAUCUUUAUUCAGAGAGAUUUAGCCUCUCUGAAUUCCCCUUUUUAUGUCCAGUCAUGUUAACAACCUGUUGUGAAUUAACCUCAUUAGUUGGGAAAUGUUCCUCCUAGUGGUUUUUGUUAGCAGUUUUUUUUUUGGCACAAUACAACUUUUUCAGGGAUUUGUUGUCCCCAGCCCAACUCUUAAAAAUAUUUCUAUUAUCAAAUUUAGAGUGAGCAUUUUAUAUAAAACUAAAUUUUCAGUUUGUUUUGUUGUCUUCGCACUAUUUUCAAUUAAACCAUCACAAUGUAUUUUCUAAUACACUUCUACUAAGUGUACUGACUUUUUCAAAUUUGGGUUGCAUUUCGAAUCUUUCAUCGAAUGUCUUUCUCUACUACACCCCUGCAAUUUGACUUAUCCAGUGGUAUUGAUGGAGCUUCUGAAAAAAGUUUCUUAAGCUUAACACAAAGGCCUAUGAGGUUUUCAUAGCUCUCAUAACAUAAACAGUGUUUGAUAACAAACUAAGCCAGAAAAUUUUGAUCUCAAGACGUUUGUUGACCCAUACCAAUGUGUAAAUGUUCAACAGUAUAGGCCUCUGUUUAUUUACAGAGGGUUACACAUCUUCUAUACCCUGUUUGAAGGUGUCCAAACCCUCAGCUGACAUAAGAGACCCUGUGCCUCAUGCAUGUCAGACAUUCUCGCAAAUAAAAAGAGAAAUAAAUUAACACAAAUUUUAAAUUAAAGUCAAAAUUAGAUUAAAGGUCUUCAUUCCACCUUGACAAUCCUGAUGUUUUCCAAGGCCAACUUGAUGUGAUUAGGUUUGAUAUGUUUAAAAAUUGUUGAAAAUCAGCACUGAAAGCUAGAGAAGCAUGAAGUCAGCUGACAGGACUACCCUAGCAGAGGAAAUACACUAAAAUUAAUAACAGCCCUUGGGGUUUUUGAGUGGAGUUUUCACUAUCGUUUUUUGUGGGUACUGUCUGAGUUUCACUUCCCUUUCGGGGAAAUCCAAAGAAGCUAGCCACAGCAGCUG